AUCGUCCUGUCCCCUUAGCAGAAAAACAGCCCCAAAGCAUGAUGUUUCCACCCCCAUGCUUCACAGUAGGUAUGGUGUUCUUGGGAUGCAACUCAGUAUUCUUCUUCCUCCUCCAAACACGACGAGUUGAGUUUAUACCAAAAUGGAUACAUGGAUGAUACAGCAAAGGAUUGGGAGAAUGUCAUGUGGUCAGAUGAAACCAAAAUAGAACUUUUUGGUAUACACUCAACUCGUCGUGUUUGGAGGAAGAAGAACACUGAGUUGCAUCCCAAGAACACCACACCUACUGUGAAGCAUGUGGGUGGAAACAUCAUGCUUUGGGGCUGUUUUUCUGCUAAGGGGACAGGACGAUUGAUCCGUGUUAAGGAAAGAAUGAAUGGGGCCAUGUAUCGUGAGAUUUUGAGCCAAAACCUCUUUCCAUCAGUGAGAGCUUUGAAUGGUUGACCACAUAUUUAUUUUCCACCAUAAUUUACAAAUAAAUUAUUUAAAAUUCCUACAAUGUGAAUUCCUGGAUUCUUUUUUCACAUUUGGUCUCUCACAGUUGAAGUGUACCUAUGAUGAAAAUUACAGACCUCUGUCAUCAUUUUAAGUGGGAGAACUUGCACAAUCGGUGGCUGACUAAAUACUUUUUUGCCCCACUGUGUGAAUGUAUAUAUAUAUAUAUAUAUAUAUAUAUAUAUAUAUAUAUAUUGUAAAACAAUUUGUUGUUGUAAAAAAAUAUGUAUGUAUGGAUAAAUUAUUUAGCUGACGCUACCAAAAAAAGACUGUCUUAUGCUUGAGUUGAUUGGUGCUGCUGUUAGUUUAGGUGCUGACUGACAUUAUCACUGCUGUGAGUUGAUUCGUCUAAUCUGUUUAGAGGGACGGCGUUCAAAAGCAGUUACUGACAAAAGUAUUCUAGCAGCUGAAACAUUUCAUGUGAAUAAUUCCUCACCACUUUGUUGCCAUUUUUUAUGUUUGCGGUGUCGUGCGUACGUAGUAGUGAUGCACUCACUCUCUCGCGUGCGUCGUGUAUCUCCCUACUCUUUGAACCCCAAGUCGCGGGUAUGAGAGUAGAGCGUUCUGACUACCGAGCUAAAAGCCCGGACUAUCAAUUCUAUAGCCAGCACUGCUCUUGAAGUUGUCAGGAGUGAAGUUUACUGAGGAACACAUGGCCCAGCCGCACUCGCGGGCCUCCGUUACACAUACGGGAACAACAUGGAGGUAAAGAAAGAGUUUAGAUUAAGAUAAUUAUUCACGCUGUCCUCCACUGGCGAGCGAGCAGACUCCCUGCUGAGAAUAACUAGGAAAGCUGAUAAAAUCCUGAACCAAACCCCCCUUCUCCCCGCCGCACCUUCCUCCGUCACCUCGCCUUUUCCGCACCAUGAAUUAUGAAUUAUGGGGUUGUGCAAUAUUAUGCCGCGUUUGCUUUGGAUAACGAUGCGAAUUAAUUCCGCGCGCAGACCAGAUGGCGUAAAAAAUGCAUGAAGGGGGACUGUCGUCAAUGUCAAACACUGAACGACGCGGCAGGUGCGUCCACGUAUAUCAUAAAUAUAAAUACAUCAUGUAAAUAUCUUUUUUCCCCCUCUUCUUCUUUCAACUUGGUAUUGAUGUCUAUCUUGGUCCUCUUUCCUGCUAUAAGGAUCAUUUGGACUGGAUCUCAGUCAUGUGUUUUGAGGCAAAUUCUUUGUAUCGUUCAAAACAAUUAAAUGAAAAUAAAUGUUUAAAAUGUGUUUCCGAGGGGCUCUUUUUAUGUUGUUUAUUUCUCAGGCCAAACUGAGCUGUUUUCAUUUGAAAAGAUGCAAGAUCAAAAAGGCCACAAAGCACUGAGAGCCGUUUUGGCUGCUUAGUGUUUAACCAACACCCGCAUCCCCCGCCCCACACCUCCCCCUGGGGCCAAAUUUGCCUUUCCAUCAUCGCACAGUCCUGAAGGUAUCUUCUCAGCCUCAUUAGGACGUGAAGCUCACACAUUGCUAACAGACUACAUCCUGGUUGGUGGAGGAGAACAAACAAACAAGCGGUGCCUCUUCUGCUGUUGCCAACAAACGGUGAACAUAACUUCUGUAUUUGCCUUGUUUUUGUAAUCAGCUCCUGUUGUACAACGGAAUACAAUUGACGAAUAAAUCUGUAAAAGGUC